rnacentral:rRNA from 1 species
GAUGACCGCUGGCGGCGGGCUAAACACAUGCAGGUCGAACGGAAAGGCCAAGCUUUCUUCGGUUACUCGAGUGGCGAACGGGUGGGUAACACGGGGGUAACCUGCCCUUACCUUGGGGAUAACUUGGGGAAACGGGGGCAAAACCCGGAAAGGAGAUCCCUUUGCAUGGGGUGGGGAAAGCCUUUUCGGUAUGGGGUGAGGUCGCGGGCUAUUAGCCUGUUGGUGGGGGAAUGGCCUACCAAGGAGGCGACGGGGAGCCGGCCUGAGAGGGUGUACGGCCACAUUGGGACUGAGAUACGGCCCAGACUCCUACGGGAGGCAGCAGUGGGGAAUAUUGCACAAUGGGCGCAAGCCUGAUGCAGCGACGCCGCGUGGGGGAUGACGGCCUUCGGGUUGUAAACUCCUUUCGCAAUCGACGAAGCCUUUUGGUGACGGUAGGUUGAGAAGAAGCACCGGCUAACUACGUG